GUAUCAACUAUUAUUCAGGGGUUUUCUUUUAUUGUGAUUAUUUUUUCAUCGUUUUAUUUGGUUUCUGAAAAGGUUUUUAAUUCUUUUUUCCAUGGAAUUCAUCCAAGACUUCUAUUUCGAUUUCUAGAUCAUCAAGAGAUGGAAGAACUCAGCGCAAUGAGACACCAUCUUGGACGUCCUCCGCAUUCAGAAACCGUGAUGACGAAUCCAAUAUCAAACCCAUGGCUGGAAAGAUGUUGGAUGCAUCACAGACACACUUAUCUACAGAUGAGCUAAAUAGACAAUUUGAUCGAAAAGGUUUGAUGGAGCUGCAGCAUAGGUUUUGAAAGUGGUCUUGUAACUUGCAAUUGAUGGAAUUAUGAACAUAGCUUCAGUCAUUUUGUAAUAAAAGACUCAGCAAAGGAUGUUUCGAUCCUACGACUAGCACUAGGCUGAUUAUGAGACAAUGCAAUACAUCCAACGGAGGAUGUAGUCCUUAGGGGUAUGUAUACUCCAUGGAGAUCACUAAGUCCUAUGAGAGGACAGCCCAAGAUGAUGAAGGGGAGUAAAGGGCGUACAAUCCAUUUGGAGGCUGAAACCAAGUGCGCAGGUUACAAGAUACCUUGAAUAGCGAAUAAUAAUAAAUCUGACAAUUCAAGAUAAUGGAAGUUAAAGAGGGAAAAAGAAUUUGUUGAUAUAAUUGCUGCUAUAAUUGAUAUUAAUGAGUUUGAUGAUCACUGUUUUGGCCAUUGAUAUCUACUUCAUAUGAUAAUAAUUGAUUGUAUGUUCGCAUGUUCA